rnacentral:tRNA from 1 species
AUUCUUUUAGUAUUAAACAGUACUGCUGACUUCCAAUCAGCCAGUCCCAGAAACUAACCUGGGAAAGAAUA